rnacentral:rRNA from 1 species
UACAGAGGUGGCAAGCGUUGUUCGGAAUUACUGGGCGUAAAGCGCGCGUAGGCGGCUUUGCAAGUCGGGUGUGAAAUCCCCAGGCUUAACCUGGGAACUGCAUUCGAGACUGCAUUGCUAGAGUAUGGGAGAGGGAAGUGGAAUUUCCGGUGUAGCGGUGAAAUGCGUAGAUAUCGGAAGGAACAUCAGUGGCGAAAGCGACUUCCUGGACCAAUACUGACGCUCAUGUGCGAAAGCGUGGGGAGCAAACAGG